rnacentral:rRNA from 1 species
GCUCGAGUGGCGAACGGGUGAGUAACACGUGAGUAACCUGCCCUUGACUUUGGGAUAACUUCUGGAAACUGGGGCUAAUACCGGAUAGGAGCUCCUGCUGCAUGGUGGGGGUUGGAAAGUUUCGGCGGUUGGGGAUGGACUCGCGGCUUAUCAGCUUGUUGGUGGGGUAGUGGCUUACCAAGGCCUUGACGGGUAGCCGGCCUGAGAGGGUGACCGGCCACAUUGAGACUGAGAUACGGCCCAG